GCCAAUUUGGCUCAGUGGAUAGAGUGUCGGCCUGCAGACUGAAGGGUCCCAGGUUCAAUUCCGGGCAAGGGCA
rfam:Myotis lucifugus cont2.52962, whole genome shotgun sequence.